GACGAACGCUGGCGGCGUGCCUAAUACAUGCAAGUCGAGCGGAGAUUUAAAAGCUUGCUUUUAAAUCUUAGCGGCGGACGGGUGAGUAACACGUGGGCAACCUGCCCUGUAGACUGGGAUAACUUCGGGAAACCGAAGCUAAUACCGGAUAAUCUUUAGCGUCACAUGGCGCAAAAGUAAAAGUUGGGUUUUACCUAACACUACAGGAUGGGCCCGCGGCGCAUUAGCUAGUUGGUAAGGUAAUGGCUUACCAAGGCGACGAUGCGUAGCCGACCUGAGAGGGUGAUCGGCCACACUGGGACUGAGACACGGCCCAGACUCCUACGGGAGGCAGCAGUAGGGAAUCUUCCGCAAUGGACGAAAGUCUGACGGAGCAAACGCCGCGUGAAACGAUGAAGGCCUUCGGGUCGUAAAGUUUCUGU
rnacentral:rRNA from 1 species